CUUUGGAUUUUAACGUUUCACUCUGCCUUUUCUGAGAAAGGUGUGGAUUAUGUCAAAGGUCAUCUGAGAGACAACUAGAUCUAAUCUAUACCACCUACUCUGGACCCAGGAGCAGUGGUCUUAGUCACUCACACUGACCUAGAUAUCAACUCUUUCUGCACCACGGCCAGACAUUCAGCAGGACCAGUGGACCAAGAAAAGGAAAACAAAGGCGGACCGUGUCCUGGCCGUGAGGGUUGUGUCACGGUGAUUCAGCCAGGAUGUGGUCCACAUUGCAGCGCCGUGCCAGGAGCGUUGGGGGCUCCAACAACUACACUUCUAAUGAUUUGGUUGAACAAGACUGCUGGCAUUCCAGCCUUCUU